rnacentral:rRNA from 1 species
GCUUACACAUGCAAGUCGAGCGGUAACAGAGAUAGCUUGCUAUCUGCUGACGAGCGGCGGACGGGUGAGUAAUGCUUGGGAAUAUGCCUUUGAGUGGGGGACAACAGUUGGAAACGACUGCUAAUACCGCAUAACGUCUACGGACCAAAGGGGGGGAUGCUUCGGCACCUCUCGCUCAUUGAUUAGCCCAAGUGAGAUUAGCUAGUUGGUAAGGUAAUGGCUUACCAAGGCGACGAUCUCUAGCUGGUUUGAGAGGAUGAUCAGCCACACUGGGACUGAGACACGGCCCAGACUCAUACGGGAGGCAGCAGUGGGGAAUAUUGCACAAUGGGCGAAAGCCUGAUGCAGCCAUGCCGCGUGUGUGAAGAAGGCCUUCGGGUUGUAAAGCACUUUCAGCGAGGAGGAAAGGUUAGUAGUUAAUAGCUGCUAGCUGUGACGUUACUCGCAGAAGAAGCACCGGCUAACUUCGUGCCAGCAGCCGCGGAAAUACGAGGGGUGCAAGCGUUAAUCGGAAUUACUGGGCGUAAAGCGUGCGUAGGUGGUUUGUUAAGCAAGAUGUG